UACGUAGGGUGCAAGCGUUGUCCGGAAUUAUUGGGCGUAAAGAGCUCGUAGGCGGUCUGUCGCGUCGGAUGUGAAAAUCCAGGGCUCAACCCUGGACCUGCAUUCGAUACGGGCAGACUAGAGUUCGGUAGGGGAGACUGGAAUUCCUGGUGUAGCGGUGAAAUGCGCAGAUACCAGGAGGAACACCGGUGGCGAAGGCGGCGAUCUGGGUCGAUACUGACGCUGAGGUGCGAAAGCGUGGGGAGCAAACAGG
rnacentral:rRNA from 1 species